rnacentral:tRNA from 1 species
AUUUAUAAAACUUUUUUAGUGCUAGAUUGUAAAUCUUGAAUUUGAUACCAUUUUAUGUAUCUAUAAAAA